rnacentral:tRNA from 1 species
AGGGCCGUGGGGUAGCGGUCUAUCCUGCGGGGCUUUGGACCCCGCGACCCCGGUUCAAAUCCGGGCGGCCCUACCACUCCGAAUCGUUUUGAGAACCA